GACGAACGCUGGCGGCGUGCUUAACACAUGCAAGUCGAACGGAAAGGCCCUGCUUUUGUGGGGUGCUCGAGUGGCGAACGGGUGAGUAACACGUGAGUAACCUGCCCUUGACUUUGGGAUAACUUCAGGAAACUGGGGCUAAUACCGGAUAGGAGCUCCUGCUGCAUGGUGGGGGUUGGAAAGUUUCGGCGGUUGGGGAUGGACUCGCGGCUUAUCAGCUUGUUGGUGGGGUAGUGGCUUACCAAGGCUUCGACGGGUAGCCGGCCUGAGAGGGUGACCGGCCGCAUUGGGACUGAGAUACGGCCCAGACUCCUACGGGAGGCAGCAGUGGGGAAUAUUGCACAAUGGGCGGAAGCCUGAUGCAGCAACGCCGCGUGCGGGAUGACGGCCUUCGGGUUGUAAACCGCUUUCGCCUGUGACGAAGCGUGAGUGACGGUAAUGGGUAAAGAAGCACCGGCUAACUACGUG
rnacentral:rRNA from 1 species